CACGUAGGCACCAAGCGUUGUCCGGAUUUAUUGGGCGUAAAGAGCUCGUAGGCGGUUCGGUAAGUCGGGGGUGAAAACUUCGGGCUCAACCCGAAGCCUGCAUCCGAUACUGCUGUGACUAGAGUCCGGUAGGGGAGUGGGGAAUUCCUGGUGUAGCGGUGAAAUGCGCAGAUAUCAGGAGGAACACCGGUGGCGAAGGCGCCACUCUGGGCCGGUACUGACGCUGAGGAGCGAAAGCGUGGGUAGCAAACAGG
rnacentral:rRNA from 1 species